UACAGAGGGUGCAAGCGUUAAUCGGAGUUACUGGGCGUAAAGGGCGCGUAGGCGGUAAGAUGUGUGUGGUGUGAAAGCCCCGGGCUUAACCUGGGAAGUGCACCGCAAACUAUCUAACUAGAGUAUAUGAGAGGGUGGCGGAAUUUCCGGUGUAGCGGUGAAAUGCGUAGAGAUCGGAAGGAACGUCAAUGGCGAAGGCAGCCACCUGGCAUAAUACUGACGCUGGUGUGCGAAAGCAUGGGGAGCGAACGGG
rnacentral:rRNA from 1 species